rnacentral:rRNA from 1 species
AGCCUGAACGCUGGCGGCGUGGCUAAGACAUGCAAGUCGUACGGGCGUAGCAAUACGUCAGUGGCGAACGGGUGAGUAAUGUAUCGCUAACGUACCCCUAUGUCCGGGAUAGCUGAGGGAAACUUCAGGUAAUACCGGGUGACAUUCUCUUUUCGCAUGAAGAGAGACUCAAAGGGAAACCGCAAAGGGAGCGGGCGAUAUCGUAUCAGCUAGUUGGUGAGGUAAUGGCUCACCAAGGCAAUGACGCGUAGCCGGACUGAGAGGUCGGACGGCCACAUUGGGACUGAGACACUGCCCAGACUCCUACGGGGGGCUGCAGUAACGAAUCUUCCGCAAUGCACGCAAGUGUGACGGAGCGACGCCGCGUGUGGGACGAAGUCCUUCGGGAUGUAAACCACUGUCAGGGGUUACCAAGUUCUGAGGAACCCCAGAGGAAGGCACGGCUAACUCUGCGCCAGCAGCCGCGGUAA